rnacentral:rRNA from 1 species
AUUGCCUCAGUAACGCGCGAGUGAAGCGCGCAACAGCUCAAAUUUGAAAUCUGGCCCCAGGCCCGAGUUGUAAUUUGCAGAGGAUGCUUCGGACGCGGCGCCUUCCAAGUCCCCUGGAACGGGGCGCCAUGGAGGGUGAGAGCCCCGUACGGUCGGACGCCAAGUCUAUGUGAAGCUCCUUCGACGAGUCGAGUAGUUUGGGAAUGCUGCUCUAAAUGGGAGGUAGACCCCUUCUAAAGCUAAAUACCGGCUGGAGACCGAUAGCGCACAAGUAGAGUGAUCGAAAGAUGAAAAGAACUUUGAAAAGAGGGUUAAACAGCACGUGAAAUUGUUGAAAGGGAAGCGCUUGUGACCAGACUUGCGCCGAGGCGAUCAUCCGGCGUUCUCGCCGGUGCACUCGCCUCGGCCCAGGCCAGCGUCGGUUCGGGAGGGGGGACAAGGACGCCGGGGACGUGGCUCCCCCGGGAGUGUUACAGCCCGGCGUGUCAUGCCCCCAUCCGGACCGAGGUUCGCGCUCUGCAAGGACGCUGGCGUAAUGGUCACCAGCGGCCCGUCUUGAAACACGGACCAAGGAGUCGAGGUUCUGCGCGAGUGUCUGGGUGCCAAACCCGCACGCGCAAUGAAAGUGAACGUAGGUGGGAGCCUCGGCGCACCACCGACCGAUCCUGAUGUUCUCGGAUGGAUUUGAGUACGAGCGUUGGGCCUCGGACCCGAAAGAUGGGUGAACUAUGCUUGGAUAGGGUGAAGCCAGAGGAAACUCUGGUGGAGGCUCGCAGCGGUUCUGACGUGCAAAUCGAUCGUCAAAUCUGAGCAUGGGGGGCGAAAGACUAAUCGAACUAUCUAGUAGCUGGUUACUCGCCGAAGUUUCCCUUCAGGAAA